AGGGGUGUAAGUGGGCCGGUUUGGGUUGGGUUUGGCCAAACCCAAAACCCAAACCAUAUAGGGUACUCCGGUUUGGGUGAGGUAAAAUAUCCACCCGUUAAACUAUUGGGCUGGUUUGGGUAAACCCACUAAUUUCCGGGUUGGGUAGUGGGUUACCCGAAUUAAUUUUUGCUUCUUUUUUUUGUAGUAUUAAACCAAAUGACAAGUCAUCAUAAUUUUUUCAUAAAAAUAACUCAAAAAUUUAAAGACAUUGCAUAACAUAAAAUUGCAUUAGAAUAAAAAUACUCAAAAAGCGCAGCAUCUUAAAUUAGCUAAAGUCUUGGCAAAAGAAAACAACAAAUGUUCAAGAGACAAAUUGCAACAACCAAGUCAAAAUAAACCAAAACCAUGUCUCAUCAAAUACAAAAAAGAGCCCAAAACAUAACAAGAAAAGAGUCUUGAUGUCAUCAUUAACAUUCCCCACAAUUCAAAAGAGUCCUGACUUCAUCGUUUAUAUUCUCCAUCUCCACCAAUGGGUUUUUGGGUUUGGAUCCGGUUUUACCCGGAACUCAUUUUAUUUUAUGGGUAUAUCAAUUUUUAAAACCACAUUCACCCAUUUACCCGACCCAACCCGUUUUUUUGGUUUUCUUU
rnacentral:lncRNA from 1 species